GGUCAAUAAACUAAUUAGUUAGGGUUAUAUUUCGGCUAUAAUAUUGGUUUGUACCUGUUGAUUG
rnacentral:tRNA from 1 species